GAUGAACGCUGGCGGCGUGCCUAAUACAUGCAAGUCGAGCGAACGGACGAGAAGCUUGUGUCUCUGUUGUUAGCGGCGGACGGGUGUGUAACACGUGGAUAACCUACCUAUAAGUCUGGGAUAACUUCGGGAAACCGUAGCUUAUCCCGUAUAAUAUUUUGCACCGCAUGGUUCAAUAGUGAAAUACGGUCUUUCUGUCACUUAUAGAUGGAUCCGCGCUGCAUUAGCUAGUUGGUAAGGUAACGGCUUACGAAGGCUACGAUGCAUAGCCGAGCUGAGAGGGUGAUCGGCCACACUGGAGCUGAGACAGGGACCAGACUCCUACGGGAGGCAGCAGUAGGGAAUCGUCCGCAGAAGGCGAAAGCCUGACGCAGCAACGCCGCGUGUGAGAUGAAGGCCUUCGGAUCGUAAAACUCUGUUAUUAGGUAAAAACAUCUGUGUAAGUAACCGUGCACAGCUUGACGGUAACUAAUCAGAAAGCAACGGCUAACUACGUG
rnacentral:rRNA from 1 species